AUGAGUUUUGAACGAAGUUGUUCUGGUCUUUCGGGGCAAGUGAACACUUCACUCAAUCCAUCUUACACCUGUGCACCUUUGGGAGAUGACUUUGUAUUGAUGAGUAUUUAAGUUGGAUAACGACGGCAAUACUUUGAUUUUACAAGUCUCUUCUUAUUAUACCAAACAACAGUAUUAGAACGUCUAUUUUUUGCUUGAUGCAAAACAAAUAAUA
rnacentral:misc_RNA from 1 species